rnacentral:rRNA from 1 species
AUUGAACGCUGGCGGCAGGCCUAACACAUGCAAGUCGAGCGAGUGGCGGACGGGUGAGUAAUGUAUGGGAAUCUGCCGGAUAGUGGGGGAUAACCACUCGAAACGGUGGCUAAUACCGCAUAUUAUUGGAUGGACCCAUAACGGAUUAGCUGGUUGGUGGGGUAAAGGCUCACCAAGGCGACGAUCUCUAGCGGGUUUGAGAGGAUAAUCAGCCACACUGGGGCUGUGACACGGCCCAAAUGCCUACGAGAGGCAGCAGUGGGGAAUUUUGGACAAUGGGGUCAAGCCUGAUCCAGCCAUGCCGCGUGUAUGAAGGAGGCCUUAGGGUUGUAAAGUACUUUUGGCAGGGAGGCGUUACCUAAAGAAUAAGCACCGGCUAACUGCGUGCCAGCAGCCGCGGUAAUAC